UUUUUCUUAGAGCAUCUCCGUCCCUAAAUUUGAGACGGGGUUCUUAAGUUUUUUUUAUUAUAAAUUUUUGACUAAAAAAAAUUUAAGAAUUUCUAUGUUUUUUUCUCUCUAUCCCUGAAUCUCAUUAGGGGUUUUUAAAUUAUUUUUUUUUAAAUUUAUUUAAUUUAAGUAAUUAUUGAUUUGAUAAUAACUAUAAACAUACAAAAUUUAAUAAAACCAAAUUUAUAUUGCAUUACAUAAAAUUUUAAACAUACAUAAUACAUAUAUUGAAAUCAUAAAAUGUUUAGUUGUAAUCUUUAGGGAUUAAUCUUUCUGACAGUAUCUCUCCUUUGUUGAAAGUAAGGAACUUAUUAGGAGACUCGAUCAACAAUACACAUGAACAAAGGCCUGUUAAUUCUAAAAAGACGUCGAAAUAUAUGAGAGUAUGUAGCAUCUUCAUUAAUAUAGUCAUUCCAUAAGCGGUUGUGGCUUUCUUUACGUUGUCCUUCUAUAUAUGCUCGUUUCUUCUUUUGCUAUGUGGAUACUCGAGAGACCAAAUUUUCGGAUAUGAACCCCAAAGCACUGAGAAUGGAAAAUUCACAUAAGGAACUCGGAAAUUUCAGAUGUAAACCCUAUGUGGAUAUUGGAUUCAUCUCCAAUUCGCAAUUUAAACUCGAAAAUUCACAAAAAACCCUAACUCAUUACCUUCAAUUAAUGCUCCAACGAUUUGGUGAUCCAUCAUCGAUCGAUUUGCUCCUCCAUUGGCUAUGCUGCUCCAUCGAUUCCCUCCUCCAUCACCGAUCGAUUUGCUGCUCCAUCACCGAUCAAUUUUUGACUCUCCAAAUCGUCGACCAUUUUCAUCUCUCUCAUCGCAAAUUAUGUUUUCCAUCGACAAUGUUUUGACCAAUUUCAGAGUUGGACUUUUUUGUUUUAUGGCCCAUUCUCGAGUUUUAGUCCACACACAAAAAAAAUAUUUCACCG
rnacentral:lncRNA from 1 species